rnacentral:rRNA from 1 species
CGUUGUCCGGAUUUAUUGGGUUUAAAGGGUGCGUAGGCGGCCUAUUAAGUCAGUGCUGAAAUAUCCCGGCUUAACCGGGAGGGUGGCAUUGAUACUGAUGGGCUUGAGUAAAGUUGAGGUAGGCGGAAUUGACGGUGUAGCGGUGAAAUGCUUAGAUAUCGUCAAGAACACCUAUUGCGAAGGCAGCUUACUAAGCUUUAACUGACGCUGAUGCACGAAAGUGUGGGGAUCAAACAGG